AUUGAACGCUGGCGGCAUGCCUUACACAUGCAAGUCGAACGGCAGCACGGGCUUCGGUCUGGUGGCGAGUGGCGAACGGGUGAGUAAUGUAUCGGAACGUACCUUUCAGUGGGGGAUAACGUAGCGAAAGUUACGCUAAUACCGCAUAUUCUGUGAGCAGGAAAGCAGGGGAUCGCAAGGCCUUGCGCUGAUUGAGCGGCCGAUAUCAGAUUAGCUAGUUGGUGAGGUAAAGGCUCACCAAGGCGACGAUCUGUAGCGGGUCUGAGAGGAUGAUCCGCCACACUGGAACUGAGACACGGGCCAGACUCCUGCGGGAGGCAGCAGUGGGGGAUUUUGGACAAUGGGGGCAACCCUGAUUCAGCCAUGCCGCGUGAGUGAAGAAGGCCUUCGGGUUGUAAAGCUCUUUCGGCCGGGAAGAAAUCGCAUAGGUUAAUACCCUGUGUGGAUGACGGUACCGGAAUAAGAAGCACCGGCUAACUACGUGCCAGCAGCCGCCGUAAUAC
rnacentral:rRNA from 1 species